GUGCUCACUUCGGCAGCACAUAUACUAAAAUUGGAAUGAUACGGAGAAGAUUAGCAUGGCCCCUGAGCAAGAAUGACACACAAAUUCAUGAAGCGUUCCAUAUUUUU
rnacentral:snRNA from 1 species